GGAUCCAGACUUUGAUCCUGGCUCAGGACGAACGCUGGCGGCGUGCCUAAUACAUGCAAGUAGAACGCUGAAGAGAGGAGCUUGCUCUUCUUGGAUGAGUUGCGAACGGGUGAGUAACGCGUAGGUAACCUGCCUUGCUAGCGGGGGAUAACUAUUGGAAACGAUAGCUAAUACCGCAUAACAAUGGAUGACACAUGUCAUUUAUUUGAAAGGGGCAAUUGCUCCACUACAAGAUGGACCUGCGUUGUAUUAGCUAGUAGGUGAGGUAACGGCUCACCUAGGCGGCGAUACAUAGCCGACCUGAGAGGGUGAUCGGCCACACUGGGACUGAGACACGGCCCAGACUCCUACGGGAGGCAGUAGUAGGGAAUCUUCGGCAAUGGGGGCAACCCUGACCGAGCAACGCCGCGUGAGUGAAGAAGGUUUUCGGAUCGUAAAGCUCUGUUGUAAGGCAAGAACGAGUGUGAGAGUGGAGAGUUCACACUGUGACGGUAGCUUACCAGAAAGGGACGGCUAACUACGUGCCAGCAGCCGCGGUAAUACGUAGGUCCCGAGCGUUGUCCGGAUUUAUUGGGCGUAAAGCGAGCGCAGGCGGUUUGAUAAGUCUGAAGUUAAAGGCUGUGGCUCAACCAUAGUUCGCUUUGGAAACUGUCAAACUUGAGUGCAGAAGGGGAGAGUGGAAUUCCAUGUGUAGCGGUGAAAUGCGUAGAUAUAUGGAGGAACACCGGUGGCGAAAGCGGCUCUCUGGUCUGUAACUGACGCUGAGGCUCGAAAGCGUGGGGAGCGAACAGGAUUAGAUACCCUGGUAGUCCACGCCGUAAACGAUGAGUGCUAGGUGUUGGGUCCUUUCCGGGAUUCAGUGCCGCAGCUAACGCAUUAAGCACUCCGCCUGGGGAGUACGACCGCAAGGUU
rnacentral:rRNA from 1 species